UACGCGAUACAUGCUGCCAUUGAAGGGUUUGCAAGUUCUGAACAUAGCAUCUUGUCUGCAUCUCCAACACCGAUACAAGGAUCUCAAUCGGAAAAUCAAAUAUUUAAUGUUUCUGAUGAAGCUUUACCAGCCAUUCUUAUUCUUUAAAGGAAUCUUUGAUGAUACAAAUUUAGAGAAGCUCCGAAUGGCCACCUUCAAGAA